CCCCAGCUGAAGAGUCCCAAACAGGACGAUAUAGGCAUCGUGGAU
rnacentral:hammerhead_ribozyme from 1 species